GUGCCAUUUCUAAUCACAGUUCUCUUUCAGGCAGAUGCCGUUUUUGUCUGCCACAUCAGCCUCAUCUUAAACACCGGCCAUGCCCUGCAGAGCAGCUACUAACUUGUUUACGCUUCUGACUUCAACGAUGAAAGGGGGAAAAAAAAUGCAAAUCGAAGAUCAAGUUAUUGCCGUGGCUGUAAAUCCUGUGUUUUUACAAAAAAAGACUAAGAACUUGCCUAGUAUUCCAUGUGAAACGACGCACAUCCCAGGACAACAUUCUGACCAUCAAGAGUGGCGACUCCUGGGAAAUUCCUCACUGGAAGGCAUCAUGUGCUCAGCUACAUGCUAAGAAUUCCACGGUUCUGUCACUGUGAGGAGACGUUCUGGGUUGAAACUGCAGGCUCCGUCUCUGUGAAGAAGUGAUUGAAAGACUAUAAUGUAUGCAUUAGCUUCACUGUUGCAGUGGAUGAAAGCCCUUAGAUGUGGUUUUCUAUGAAAGUGCUCCUCUCUGCUCUUUGUGCAUGGUUAAUAACACCCAUGGAGUUAAACUUCCAUACCGAGCCUUCUAAAAGAUGUUCUGCUGGCUAAUUAUUUUACUUUAAAAAAUUAAAAUUGGCUGAUUGAUUUUGA